UGUCAGGGCGAUCUGGUUGCAGAGUCUGGCACCCCACUAAUCGCCAGAGUUGAUUUGGCUGAUCUGACCAACUAGGCAGGUAUCCCCUUCCUCCCUCACUGC
rnacentral:sRNA from 1 species